rnacentral:rRNA from 1 species
GACGAACGCUGGCGGCGUGCUUAACACAUGCAAGUCGAACGGGCUCUGUCUGGCUGUGUGCUGGGUGGGGUUAGUGGCGAACGGGUGAGUAAUACGUGAGUAACCUGCCCUCUUCUUUGGGAUAAGCCUUGGAAACGGGGUCUAAUACUGGAUAUUCCUGUCUGGUCGCAUAGCUGGGUGGGGAAAGUUUUUUUCGGUGGGGGAUGGGCUCGCGGCCUAUCAGCUUGUUGGUGGGGUGAUGGCCUACCAAGGCGUCGACGGGUAGCCGGCCUGAGAGGGUGACCGGCAACACUGGGACUGGGAUACGGCCCAGACUCCUACGGGAGGCAGCAGUGGGGGAUAUGGCACAAUGGGCGCAAGCCUGAUGCAGCGACGCCGCGUGGGGGAUGACGGCUUUCGGGUUGUAAACCUCUUUCGUCGGGGGACAAGGCUCUGCUUGGUGGUGGGGUUGAGGGUACCCGGUGAAGAAGCGCCGGCUAACUACGUG